GGUACCAUGGCUUGGCUGGUUAAAGCACUUGUUUUGUAAACAAGAGAUCCUGGGUUCAACUCCCAGUGGUACUU